GUGGCGAACGGGUGCGUAACACGUGAGAAACCUGCCCUGGAGAUCGGGAUAGCCCGAGGAAACUCGGAUUAAUACCGAAUACCUUCACCGAGUCGCAUGGCUCUAUGAAGAAAUGGUCCGCCGCUCCAGGAUGGUCUCGCGGCCUAUCAGCUUGUUGGUGAGGUAACGGCUCACCAAGGCAGCGACGGGUAGCUGGUCUGAGAGGACGAUCAGCCACACUGGGACUGAGACACGUACCAGACUCAUACGGGAGGCAGCAGCAGGGAAUAUUGCACAAUGGGCGAAAGCCUGAUGCAGCGACACCGCGUGCGGGAUGAAGGCCUUCGGGUUGUAAACCGCUUUCAGGAGGGACGAAAAUGACGGUACCUCCAGAAGAAGGCCCGGCCAACUAUGUGCCAGCAGCCGCGGUAAUACAUAGGGGCCAAACGUUGUCCGGAUUUAUUGGGCGUAAAGGGCUCGUAGGCGGCUUGGAAAGUCAAUCGUGAAAACCCGGGGCUCAACCCCGGGGACGCCGGUCGAAACUUCCAUAGCUAGGGUCCGGUAGAGGUGAGUGGAAUUCUAGGUGUAGCGGUGAAAUGCGCAGAUAUCUAGAGGAA
rnacentral:rRNA from 1 species